GGGGGGGCAAGCGUUGUUCGGAAUUACUGGGCGUAAAGGGCGCGCAGGCGGCCUGGCAAGUCCUACGUGAAAUCCCACAGCUCAACUGUGGAACUGCGUGGGAUACUGCCAGGCUUGAGUCCGGGAGAGGAGAGUGGAAUUCCCAGUGUAGCGGUGAAAUGCGUAGAUAUUGGGAGGAACACCGGUGGCGAAGGCGGCUCUCUGGACCGGUACUGACGCUGAGGCGCGAAAGCUAGGGGAGCAAACGGGGGAUUAGAUACCCCGGUAGUCCUAGCCGUAAACUUUGAGCACUUUGUGUGGCGGGUAUCGACCCCCUGCCGUGCAGAAGCUAACGCAUUAAGUGCUCCGCCUGGGGAUACGGUCGCAAGGCUG
rnacentral:rRNA from 1 species